rnacentral:rRNA from 1 species
GACGUAGGGGACGAGCGUUGUCCGGAUUCAUUGGGCGUAAAGCGCGCGUAGGCGGUUACGCAAGUCGGUUGUGAAAAUCCGGGGCUCAACCCCGGACCUGCAUCCGAUACUGCGUGACUAGAGGUAGGUAGGGGGAGAUCGGAAUUCCUGGUGUAGCGGUGAAAUGCGCAGAUAUCAGGAGGAACACCGGUGGCGAAGGCGGGUCUCUGGGCCGAUACUGACGCUGAGGAGCGAAAGCGUGGGGAGCGAACAGG